AUGGGUGUGCCUACUCAGCUCCUGGCAUUGCUGUUGCUGUGGCUUACUGAUGCCAGAUGUGACAUCCAGAUGACUCAGUCUCAAGCAUCCCUGUCUGAAUCUCUGGGAGAAAGUGUCACCAUCUCCUGUCAAGCAAGUGAGAACAUUUACAAGAAUUUAGCAUGGUAUCAGCAAAAACCAGAGAAAUCUCCUCAGCUACGGAUCUAUGUUGCAACCAGCUUGGCAGAUGGUGUGCCAUGGAGGUUCAGUGGCAGUGGAUCUGGCACACAAUAUUCUCUAAAGAUCAACAGCCUGCAGCCUGAAAAUAUUGCAACUUAUUACUGUCAACAAGGUUAUAGUACUCCUCUCACAGUGAUUCAAGCCUUAACAUAA